UACGGAGGGUGCGAGCGUUGUCCGGAAUCACUGGGCGUAAAGGGCGCGUAGGCGGCCCGAUAAGUAGGGGGUGAAAUCCUGCGGCUUAACCACAGGGCUGCCUUCUAAACUGUCGGGCUAGAGCACGGUAGAGGCAGAUGGAAUUCCCGGUGUAGCGGUGGAAUGCGUAGAGAUCGGGAAGAACAUCAGUGGCGAAGGCGGUCUGCUGGGCCGUUGCUGACGCUGAGGCGCGACAGCGUGGGGAGCAAACAGG
rnacentral:rRNA from 1 species